UAAGCAUUUUUCAAGGUUUUA
rnacentral:piRNA from 1 species